UUUUUUUGUUUUGUGAUCCAGUGAGAGAACUCCGAGAAUUUUGGUGUUUCUCGCUCAGGUGAGUGUAUGGCUACGGCGUUUCUCUUCAUUUUGUUGAAGUGCUGCGGUGCAGCAUCCUGUGUUCCACUGAUCGGCGUGGAGCUCCUAUCCGGUAUUGUUUGGCUGGGAGGCGUUGACAUUCGAGAGUGGGCGUCGCCCUCCACAAGUCGACGUGGUCGGAACUGAUGUUCAUUUGCAGCACUGGAUGCUCUCUAGUGGUUGUUGCGGCGGUGUUGCAAGGCCUCCCUUGCUAUUGGGGUUCAACUCGAGCUUGCAAGGAACGGGACGUACUACACCGAGAUCCUCAUCUCUAGGGCGCCCAAUCUGAGUGGAUUCCAAGCCCAGAACUUCCCUCCUCUAUGUGGAGAUCCCAAGCAGGACUGUUUGCACAGGUUUUCUAGUGCUGUUGGUGAUGGAGAUGCCGAGCUCAGGAUUGCAAUUUUAGUAGACAUUUCGUGACGUUGCUCUACUGCUGAUCGAAAGAUAGAACGGGAGCUAGGAAGGAUUAAGAAUGUUUGUCUAAAGAGAGAUUUGCCGUCUUAUUGUUGCGCUGUUGCUGCAAAUGCGAGCGAAGCGGUCAUAGAUUGAGUCUGUUGCUCUCUCUUUUCAGGACGAGAAUUUGUGGCGCAUUUUCAAGGCGGAGCUGGAGUUUUAGCGCAUGGCAGAUGUAGCAUCAGUGUAUUUUCUCAUGAAGUAUGCUAGAGUUCUCUAUUCGACAAUUUUGGAAGUGAUUUUGUCCACUUUUUCCAUCAAGUAGUACUUGAAGAGAAUGUUCAUACUUAUGCUUCAUGAUUUUCGAGCACCACACAACCCACUCCUCCUCCCUGUCUAAGUGUCUGAUAGUAUUGUUCUAGUUUCAUCUGGAAAUUCUACUUAUUGCUAGUAACGAAGAAAUUGAUUCAUUGAGAAUUAUUCCUGAAUAAUGGCGAUAGGUGAGGCCUUGCCCUUUCGUACAUGGUUUUCCGCAGCAUACGUGUCCAAUGCUGUUGCCGGGUUUGCAGAUGAUGUUCUAUGAAGAGGCUUUUGAAAGCUACAUCAAAAGAUUGCAGGCGAAGUUAAGUCAUUUCACCACGUGGUUGGGUUGCUGGUUUUUAUAGCAGUUGUGGUCCUCUAGUAUAUCACUUGAAGGCUUGGUGUUUAGUGAAUAAGGGUUGCAACUAACUUGCAAUGCCCUGAAAGCGGACCUUGUGUGAGCUUUGGGAACUAUCAAUGCACUCAGGGCAGCGAAGGAGAUUGCGAUUUAGUCGUGGAAGAUUUAUCCGAAGAAAGGAACUUGUUGCUCGGCUGGUGAACCGGUGGGAUUGAUGACGUUGCUGUGGUCUGCUCGAACAAGAAGCUACGGUAGCUGGUUUUGACUCCAGGUGCACUUUUGCGAGAGGAGCGUGUUGGGAGAUUGGGAGGAUCGGAAUGGCAACAGCUGGAGCAAAGUACUAGAUGAACUAUGGACGCUGGCCCUCCGCAUUGCGUUCAAUUUUGGUUUUUCCUUCUGUGCAAUGAAUUGGGAUUUGAUACCUACACCACCUUGAAGACCUCGUACGUGGCAAGAAACGUGGUACAGAUUGAAAUUAGGAUUGGACGAAUCUCCACUUGGAUGAGAGAAGUGAAUGAUAUUAGUUUAGAUUCAAAUGAACUUAGGUUAGGAUUUAAUUAGGUUAAAAUUGGAUGUAUUCCUAGUGAAUGAGAAUUAAGUAAAGGAUGAAUUUUAAAUA